rnacentral:rRNA from 1 species
UACGGAGGGUGCAAACGUUGCUCGGAAUCAUUGGGCGUAAAGCGCACGUAGGCGGUCCAGCAAGCGGGGAGUGAAAGCCCUCGGCUUAACCGAGGAAGUGCUUUCCGAACUACUGGACUUGAAUACUGAAGAGGAUCGCGGAAUUCCCGGUGUAGAGGUGAAAUUCGUAGAUAUCGGGAGGAACACCAGUGGCGAAGGCGGCGAUCUGGGCAGAUAUUGACGCUGAGGUGCGAAAGCGUGGGGAGCAAACAGG